GCUGAUGUCGGUGGUAGUUUCCAAACUCUUGAUUUCUCCAUGCCCUUUGUUUUUCCUGUAGCUAUAACUAAACUGCUUGCUUUUCACUCAAAGUCAGCUUCCUCGUCUUCAUCCUGGUUUGUGCGUGUCAUCAUCAAAUGCAAGACUCUGAACGCAGAAGCAAUGGAUAUAACUGAUACUACACAUUUCCUGCUUUUAAUAUCUGAAGAAUUAAUGCAACAGGACACAGCUGAACACUUAAGACCUGAAGGGGUAACUGUCCCAAUACUUCUGCUCACAUCAGAUAGAGGACAAACUCUAAAAGUGCUGAUCUUCUUAGCAGCGCAGCAGCGGUUUCUGAUGAGUUUGUACAGAGCGACCGCAGGGAUGACCAGCGCUGGAACACCCGACAGAAUGAAGAUGAUCGCGUAAAUCCAGUCCGGAUACGACUUCGUUUCCAGUGUGGGGAAAUUCUCCUGGAGACAGUUAUCAUUAAUAUAAUGAGUUUCCUACAGGAAUGAAGGCAGCCAUGCCAUGGGAUGUGCGUACCGACUGCGGGUCCCAGGCGAUGUAGGUCAGCUCUUUACUGACGGUGGUGACGAAGUAGAAGAGGAAGAUGACCAGCACUAUGAGCGGACUGACGAGUCUCCACGUGGCCUGCCAGAAGAAGUUGGGCUUGUGACCGAUCAUGAACUUGAUAUCGUCGUUGAAUCUACACCGAAUCAACACACAAAUAUCAACAGGCUACAGCCAUCAUCUCACAGAAGGCGAUGAUCAGCAAAGGAAUGGAUCCAGCAAAGCCGUCGAACAGAGCCAGCCAAUAUUCACCUGAACCCUGAGCGAAGAUAAUGGCCAGACCGAACGAGACGAGACACACCAGACCUGAAACACACACACACACAGACCGAGACCUUCACGUGUGAUCAUCAGUGGAGACGGCUAGA